rnacentral:rRNA from 1 species
CCUACGGGAGGCAGCAGUGAGGAAUAUUGGUCAAUGGACGAGAGUCUGAACCAGCCAAGUAGCGUGAAGGAUGACUGCCCUAUGGGUUGUAAACUUCUUUUAUAUGGGAAUAAAACGUUCCACGUGUGGGAUUUUGUAUGUACCAUAUGAAUAAGGAUCGGCUAACUCCGUGCCAGCAGCCGCGUUAAUACGGAGGAUCCGAGCGUUAUCCGGAUUUAUUGGGUUUAAAGGGAGCGUAGUGGGAUUGUUAAGUCAGUUGUGAAAGUUUGCGGCUCAACCGUAAAAUUGCAGUUGAAACUGGCAGUCUUGAGUACAGUAGAGGUGGGCGGAAUUCGUGGUGUAGCGGUGAAAUGCUUAGAUAUCACGAAGAACUCCGAUUGCGAAGGCAGUUCACUGGACUGCAACUGACACUGAGGCUCGAAAGUGUGGGUAUCAAACAGGAUUAGAUACCCGAGUAGUC